rnacentral:lncRNA from 1 species
UAUAAGACAAGGAAAAUCUGGCCACAGAGACACACUACCAAGCUUGUGAUAAUUUGUUGUCAACCCGAGGAAAUCAAUACAUCCAGCAUAUCCAACUUUGAUAUCAAAUGUCUGCCUGAUGAUGUGCGCCAACUGCCACCCCAAUUCAAUCGCUUCCUUCCUUGACAAGGGUUUCAGGAACACACUUAAAAUCAUGAAAUGAGACAUAGACUUUACCUUGAUUCUUAUGGUCAUCUCAGUAAAGGAAAGUGUUCACAG